ensembl:lncRNA
GCCGAGCAGCGGAGCUCGCUCUGCUCGGCCGGCCUCGGGCAAGAAGAAGGCGACUGGGCUGUGCAGGGCCGAGCUCCCCUCUCUGAAGGCACGGCUCCCGGGGCAGCAGAGGAGAAUGCCAGUUUGGAUCAAAGCCCCUGGCUCAGCCAUCAGUAAGGGAGGAGAAGGAGCAGCAUCUCGAUCCUCGUGGGCUGAUGUCUUCGAAGUGAAAUGAAGGAGGGACCAAACACAUGCCAAAAAUGUACCAAGGAAAUGCAGUACUGCUGUGUGAGAGUGCAAGGACACUCCUGUUAACCAGUCCUUCAUGUAUUUAGUAUGAACCCUUGAUAAGUCAGCAGGGUCUUGCAUGCUGCAAACACUGACAUUUGAUAUCUAAUGUUGUAGUGCUAUUGCUGCUAAGUAUUAAGUGAAAAUGGAAGAAAAAGUUGGAUGGGGGCCUUGGGCAGCCCGGUCUAGUAUUAAAUGGGGAG